GAGGGACUGUUGUCAGAAACUGACUGAAGGACUAUCAUCUCAUACUGCAGUCCCCGACUUUCAUCAUGACUGUUAUAACCAGCCUGCUUCUGAUUUCAGUAUUCUUUACCAGUGUUAAAAGUCAGACACUGACUGAGUCUGAACCCGCAGUCAAAAAGCCUGGAGAAUCCCACAAACUGACCUGUACAGCCUCUGGGUUCACAUUCAGUGGUUAUGGUAUGCACUGGAUCAGACAGGCUCCUGGGAAGGGGCUGGAGUGGGUUGCUUACAUUAGCUCUAGCAGUGGCACCAUCUACUAUUCCCAGUCUGUUCAGGGACGAUUCACCGUCACCAGAGACAACAGCAAGAACCAGCUGUAUUUACAGAUGAACAGGCUGGCAGCUGAAGACACUGCAGUGUAUUACUGUGCCAGAGACCCACAGUGA